rnacentral:snRNA from 1 species
UUACUUACCUGGCGCCGGGACCAGAGUGAUCACGGAAACCCUGACACCAGGUGGAGGCUCGCUCUUGCACUCUGGCGGGUUGAAGACUGAAACGAUCCGUAAUUGGGCUCGCUCGGGAGCCUAGCUUUUGCCAGUGAGGAAGUCUUCGGACCAUCCCUU